rnacentral:rRNA from 1 species
AGAGUUUGAUCAUGGCUCAGGAUGAACGCUAGCUACAGGCUUAACACAUGCAAGUCGAGGGGUAACGAGGAGGAAGCUUGCUUUCUCCGUCGACGACCGGCGCACGGGUGAGUAACGCGUAUCCAACCUACCAUCAGCUAAGGAAUAGCCCGUCGAAAGGCGGAUUAAUGCCUUAUGUCGUUUCGCGAUGACAUCAGAAAGAGACGAAAGAUUUAUCGGCUGUCGAUGGGGAUGCGUCUGAUUAGAUUGUUGGCGGGGCAAUGGCCCACCAAGUCAUCGAUCAGUAGGGGUUCUGAGAGGAAGGUCCCCCACAUUGGAACUGAGACACGGUCCAAACUCCUACGGGAGGCAGCAGUGAGGAAUAUUGGUCAAUGGGCGAGAGCCUGAACCAGCCAAGUAGCGUGCAGGAUGACGGCCCUAUGGGUUGUAAACUGCUUUUACACGGGGAUAAAGUGUGCGACGUGUCGUUCAUUGCAGGUACCGUGCGAAUAAGGACCGGCUAAUUCCGUGCCAGCAGCCGCGGUAAUACGGAAGGUCCCGGGCGUUAUCCGGAUUUAUUGGGUUUAAAGGGAGCGUAGGCCGUCUGUUAAGCGUGUUGUGAAAUGUAGAUGCUCAACAUCUGAAUUGCAGCGCGAACUGACCGACUUGAGUGCGCAGGAAGUAGGCGGAAUUCGUGGUGUAGUGGUGAAAUGCUUAGAUAUCACGAAGAACUCCGAUUGCGAAGGCAGCUUACUGUAGCGCCACUGACGCUGAAGCUCGAAAGUGCGGGUAUCGAACAGGAUUAGAUACCCUGGUAGUCCGCACGGUAAACGAUGGAUACCCGCUGUUUGCCCGUUGGGGUGAGCGGCCAAGCGAAAGCAUUAAGUAUCCCACCUGGGGAGUACGCCCGGCAACGGUGAAACUCAAAGGAAUUGACGGGGGCCCGCACAAGCGGAGGAACAUGUGGUUUAAUUCGAUGAUACGCGAGGAACCUUACCCGGGCUUGAAUUGCAGACGAAUGCGAUAGAGAUAUCAAAGUCCUUCGGGACGUCUGUGAAGGUGCUGCAUGGUUGUCGUCAGCUCGUGCCGUGAGGUGUCGGCUUAAGUGCCAUAACGAGCGCAACCCCUCUCCUUAGUUGCCAUCAGGCUAUGCUGGGCACUCUGGGGACACUGCCACCGCAAGGUGUGAGGAAGGUGGGGAUGACGUCAAAUCAGCACGGCCCUUACGUCCGGGGCUACACACGUGUUACAAUGGCCGGUACAGCGAGUAGGGUGCGCGCAAGCUCACCCCAAUCACGAAAGCCGGUCCCAGUUCGGACUGGGGUCUGCAACCCGACCCCACGAAGCUGGAUUCGCUAGUAAUCGCGCAUCAGCCAUGGCGCGGUGAAUACGUUCCCGGGCCUUGUACACACCGCCCGUCAAGCCAUGAAAGCCGGGGGUGCCUGAAGUCCGUGACCGCAAGGAUCGGCCUAGGGCAAAACUGGUAAUUGGGGCUAAGUCGUAACAAGGUAGCC